UACGGAAGGUCCAGGCGUUAUCCGGAUUUAUUGGGUUUAAAGGGAGCGUAGGCGGGACGUGUAAGUCAGCUGUGAAAGUUUGCGGCUCAACCGUAAAAUUGCAGUUGAAACUGCCGUUCUUGAGUGUGCGCAGGGAUGUUGGAAUUCGUGGUGUAGCGGUGAAAUGCUUAGAUAUCACGAAGAACUCCGAUCGCGAAGGCAGAUGUCCGGAGCACAACUGACGCUGAGGCUCGAAAGUGUGGGUAUCAAACAGG
rnacentral:rRNA from 2 species